GGGGCGGGUGAACUUUUAAAUACCGUUUUAUUUCUAAUUCUAAUUAAGUGAUUAAGUCUAUAGUAGUAGAUGGCCACCACUUAUAGUUUUGUUCUGACUCAUUUUUAAGGAUCAGCACCUACCUAUUCCGGUAGCUUUAUAACCUCGGUUUGGUAGUUUAUCAA